UACAGAGGUCCCAAGCGUUGUUCGGAAUUAUUGGGCGUAAAGGGAGCGUAGGCGGUUCGAUAAGUCACUUGUGAAAUCUCUGGGCUCAACCCAGAGUCUGCAAGCGAAACUGUCGGGCUUGAGUAUGGGAGAGGUGAGUGGAAUUCCUGGUGUAGCGGUGAAAUGCGUAGAUAUCAGGAGGAACACCUGUGGCGAAAGCGGCUCACUGGACCAUUACUGACGCUGAGGCUCGAAAGCUAGGGGAGCAAACAGG
rnacentral:rRNA from 1 species